GAUGAACGCUGGCGGCGUGCCUAACACAUGCAAGUCGAGCGAGAUGCUGUUGAUUGAAACUUCGGUAGAUUGAUUCAGCGGACAGCGGCGGACGGGUGAGUAACGCGUAGGUAAGCUGCCCCUUGCAGGAGGAUAGCCUGGGGAAACCUGAAUUAAUACUCCAUAACGCGCCUGGGUCACAUGGCUCUGGGCGCCAAAGAUUUAUCGGCAAGGGAUGCACCUGCGUCUGAUUAGAUAGUUGGUGAGGUAACGGCCCACCGAGGCGACGAUGUCUAGGGGUUCUGAGAGGAAGGUCCCCCACACUGGAACUGAGACACGGUCCAGACUCC
rnacentral:rRNA from 1 species